rnacentral:tRNA from 1 species
AAACUUAGGCUAGUGU